GCGAGAGUGGCGGAACUGGUAGACGCACUGGAUUUAGGAUCCAGCGCACUAGAGUUCAAGGGGGUUCAACUCCCCCCUCUCGCACCA
rnacentral:tRNA from 1 species